AUGCUUGCUUCAGCAGCACACAUACUAAAAUUGUAACAAUACAGAGAUUAGCAUGGCCCCUGCACAAUGAGGACAAUCAAAUUCAUAAAGCGUUCCAUAUUUUU
rnacentral:snRNA from 1 species